CGUGGACGGCUCCAACCCGCGCCCGUGGUCCGCGGUCCGUUGCUUCAGAACUCGACGUCUCGGAUCGAAAUCCGCGGCCCGGCUUGACCCGCGCCCAUCGCUCGCGCCUUUCGUCACCCGGCCGGUCAGAUUCAAACCGCGUUGCACAGCCGCGGCUCGUCCACAACGGAUGAGUCGGAUCGAAUUCCGCGGCCUGCCUUCGUCCGCAGCACUGUAACAGGCUUGCCGCGUCGUCAAGCAGCCGUGACCACCAUUCCAAGCUUCUCGCGAUUCUCCACCACGGGAUCUAUGUUCCAAGCUGUCUCCUCCCCGCCGUGCUCAGCUCCACUGUCGCGGCCG
rnacentral:lncRNA from 1 species